GAUGAACGCUGGCGGCGUGCCUAAUACAUGCAAGUCGAGCGAACAGACGAGGAGCUUGCUCCCCUGACGUUAGCGGCGGAAGGGUGAGUAACACGUGGAUAACCUACCUAUAAGACUGGGAUAACUUCGGGAAACCGGAGCUAAUACCGGAUAGUAUAUUGAACCGCAUGGUUCAAUAGUGAAAGACGGUUUUGCUGUCACUUAUAGAUGGAUCCGCGCCGCAUUAGCUAGUUGGUAAGGUAACGGCUUACCAAGGCAACGAUGCGUAGCCGACCUGAGAGGGUGAUCGGCCACCCUGGAACUGAGACACGGUCCAGACUCCUACGGGAGGCAGCAGUAGGGAAUCUUCCGCAAUGGGCGAAAGCCUGACGGAGCAACGCCGCGUGAGUGAUGAAGGUCUUCGGAUCGUAAAACUCUGUUAUUAGGGAAGAACAACUGUGUAAGUAACUAUGCACGUCUUGACGGUACCUAAUCAGAAAGCCACGGCUAACUACGUG
rnacentral:rRNA from 1 species